CUUUAUUGAAGAAGUUUAGUCAGUUUUACCAGAGUAUUAAACACGAGUAUGUGUACUUCUACUUGAGUAAAGGAUGUGUGUACUUUUGCCCUCUCUGAUCGUGUGUGAAACCGCAGUGUCGGCACUAAUUGUCUUCAGCGUCCCCUCCUCUCCUUUGUUCUCUUUGUGUUAGCGUGUAGCUCUCGUCCCGCUGCGUGCCGGUUCCCCCUCUGGGACGGUAAUACAAACUGUGUCAAAACCUCAGACUUAAACAGGUCUGCACGAUGGAAAACAUGACGGCAAGUCUACUAUUGACUAAAAGGUGGAACGGUGUUAAAAGAUACCUGGAGGUCGAGCUAGUUUGAACUGAAUUGAGUUUCAAAAGAACAUGAUGGCAAAUGUCCCCGUGUAACCGAUCGUGCUAAAGAUGUCACUCCUUGUGUAAAAUGCUUUUAUUUACUUUACUAUUAUUAAUUUAUUUUUUAUAAUUAUCUUAUUUAUUUCCUUAUUUUAACUUGUAACUGUUUUACUUUGUUUUUUAAUUUUAUUUUUUCCUUUUAAUUGACCAUAUUAUUAUUUUGUCAUUUGAAUGGAAAAGUCCUAUGUGGCGCAGUGCACUAGCGCGUUGGCGUUCAAACCCCACUGCAGUCAGCAUGUCGUUGUGUCCCUGAGACUCUUCACCCCAAAGUGCUCCUGUGGGGAUUGCCCACAGUACUGAGUAUGGAGUCGCUUUGGAUAAAAGCGUCUAACAAGUGUCAUGUAAUGGAUGUCUUGAUUUGUAAAAACAAAAACCUGCAGAGCAGACCUCGGCUCGAUGUCUCUGCUUUCUGUCCGUCCGCUGACUUUCCGUGACAAAGUAUGAUAUGAAGUAAUCUGCUUUCCCCUGACGUUCUGUUCUCUCUGUCACCAGGAGGCUGCUGGGAAUCAUCACUAAGAAAGACAUUCUGAAACACAUGGCGCACAUCGCCAACAGAGACCCCGACUCCAUCCUCUUCAACUGACCCUGUAGAGCAGCGGGGAAGAUAAAAACACCAGCUUGGAAAACGAAACGCACCUUUUCAGAAAGCUUCAGAGAAAGCCAAAAACGAGACUCCAAGAAGCAAACCAACCGCCAUGUCAUUAUCUUAUCUUCUACACAUUAACAGAAUAUACAUUGAAAGGGAGUGGGAGGAGAUCAUCUGGGAGUUUUUUGGGGCGCUCCGUGCUGCCCUGCGAGCCCAGACGGAGAGCUCCAAACUGGGCUGAUGGAUGCAUGAACUCACCCCGUCCCUCCCCUCCUGUGGCCUCGGGGGGUGAUGCAUACAGGAGUGUGAGAAGAGGACACACUUUACACUCCAUAAAGACUUCAUGACAGCCUGGGAUCUCGCUCCACAAAUGACAACUUUUUUCUUUAUACAGAACUAUGCAGUGUUGUGUUGCCAUGCAGACUCCGCAUGGCAACAUGGCAGUAAUAUUCAAAUAUAUAACAAAUUAAACACAUGCUGAAAAACCAUGUCAUGCCUUAUGGAAGGAAGUGUGUAAGUGUGUCAGGCUCCCGUGGAAGGGCUAACAAAUACACAAAGAGAGAAUCAUGACACAUGUUAAUUUAUGUAAAUGUUCAAUUGUUUGUCCCACUAAAUUAUUUCACUGACUUAAAUGUGUCCGUGUUUCUUUGUCGUGUGAAUUUAGACUUCUUUUUGCCAGACUCGGAAACGUAUUGAGUUUAAUCUCCUCUCUUUUAUUGUUAUUAUUAUUGUCAUUGGAUAGAAACAUUGGUGAUAAUCAUUAGCUUAAACCCCAAAACUAAACGAGUAGAUUUAACGUAUUUAAUUGUCCGUAAUAUCUCUGAUUGAUUAUAAAAAUGAAACUACUGUUA